CAGAAAUUAUUGAGGGACAGGUAGAGCAGGGUCAUUCAGAUGUACAGUGUCAGAAAGCAAAUUCAGACAGCGGUUGCCUGGAUCAACACCCAGUACUGGGAUGCCUGGAACCUGUGUGACGAGGUGAUCGACUGGGGAGACGGUGUGGAGGAGUGCUCACGAGCGACACCCCCACUGUCCAGGUUGGGGGGGAUAAGGAGGGAUUGGGAAGGGCUACUUGGGAAAAUGUGGAGGUAUCAGAAAGGGGCGUCCAAUGGUGAGAUGGAGGGGGCGGAGGCUGGUAUGAAUGUAAUGCAUAUGGUAAAUGGAGGUGAGGAGAAUGGAUGUGAGGUAGGAGUGAAUGUGGAGGAGGUUAAGGGAGAAGGAGAGAAAAGUAGAGGGAAUGCUUUGGGAUCUAUUGUGUCACAAGGAGGCAGAUCAUGGCUGGAAACCAUUCAGGAAGAAGGAUGUGAGGAAGAAGAAGAAACUGAGGUGGCGUUUCAGGAGGCACAAGACGCUGAGGUUGCCCAGUUGGACAGAUGGUGUCCAUGUGGCUGGUGUAAGGUACGUGUUUAUAUCAGUAUCUACAUGUAAAGGGAGCAGACACAGGAAAAAGGUAUUGAAGACCCUUGAUAUGAUAUUGCUGUUUUUGAUUUAGAUUCCAAAGUUAACCCUUUAUUUAAUUUAUCCCUUUUCCCCAAGUAGAAUGAUGCAUUUACUUGUAAUCUGUAUUAUUUUGCUUUGGAGUCGGAAGUUCCAAAAUCACCAGGUAAGUUAAUCGAUUGUAUGUGCUUUAUCUACUAGAUAGAUGUAAAUGAUAAGCCUUAAGAUUUAUUUUAAAUUAAUUUAUUGUUUUUUUGUAAAUUAAAAACAGGAACCCUCGUGGACCAAGACUUGAGGGCAUUUGUACCAUCCAGCUGUACAACUUUAACUGGUUCUGCAGUCUUUUUCUCCCCACAGCCUCUGCUUGUUCCCUUCUUCUCUUUCUGUCUUCCCUCCAGGAGAGCUCCUCAGGCAUCUCCAGCCUGUAAUUCCUGGGAAAUGCCACCUGCCACCCAUCCUUGGAAGCGUCGCCCAGUCUCAGGAUCUCAUACGUCACCAUUCAUCACAGAGUCACAGCGCUUGCAGACAUCUGGAUAAAAGGAAAAGCCCAUUUUUUAAAACUUACACGUUAAAUUUUCCUCUA